UAAGGAAUAUUGGUCAAUGGACGCAAGUCUGAACCAGCCAUGCCGCGUGAAGGAUGAAGGUCCUCUGGAUUGUAAACUUCUUUUAUCUGGGACGAAAACGGGAUUUUUAUCUCAAUUGACGGUACCAGGGGAAUAAGCACCGGCUAACUCCGUGCCAGCAGCCGCGGUAAUACGGAGGGUGCGAGCGUUAUCCGGAUUUACUGGGUUUAAAGGGUGCGUAGGUGGGCUUAUAAGUCAGUGGUGAAAUCUCCGAGCUUAGCUUGGAAACUGCCGUUGAUACUAUAGGUCUUGAAUUAUCUGGAGGUAAGCGGAAUAGGUCAUGUAGCGGUGAAAUGCUUAGAUAUGACAUAGAACACCAAUUGCGAAGGCAGCUUACUACAUAUAAAUUGACGCUGAGGCACGAAAGCGUGGGGAUCAAACA
rnacentral:rRNA from 1 species